rfam:Pan troglodytes isolate Yerkes chimp pedigree #C0471 (Clint) chromosome 17, whole genome shotgun sequence.
CCUCUUUGGAAGGAUAGCAGCAUGAACCUGUCUCACUGCAGAAUUAUUUUGAGACAGGCUUAUGCUGCUAUCCUUCAAAAGAAC